UACAGAGGGGGCAAGCGUUGUUCGGAAUUACGUUGGGCGUAAAGGGCGCGUAGGUCGGCCUUCUAAGUCGAACGUUGAAAUCCCUGGGCUCAACCCAGGAACUGCGUCCGAUACUGGAAAGGCUUGAAUCCGGGAGAGGGAUGCGGAAUUCCAGGUGUAGCGGUGAAAUGCGUAGAUAUCGAGAGGAACACCGGUGGCGAAGGCGGAUCUCUGGGCCUUACCUGACGCUCAGGCGCGAAAGCUAAGGGGAGCGGAACAGG
rnacentral:rRNA from 1 species